UCUAGAACUCGAGAUAUGGGCUGAACACUGAACAGUGUCUGGGUUGUAGGACAUAUUCGGACUUCUUUGUUGUUGCUACAAUUUGGACUUGAAAAUAGCCUUUUUAAAUCUUAGACUCCCAUAAAAGUUUUAGGCCUAUGUCUUAGCUUUCCAUC
rfam:Populus trichocarpa scaffold_14_contig_183, whole genome shotgun sequence.